UGUAAGCGUAUACCAAAGUUGUUGCAGUUAAAACGCUCGUAGUCGGAAUUUGGCAGUUCCGGAUGUGUGCACGUCGUGUGCGCACUUCGCGGGGAUUGCUUUUGUGGUCUUGCGUAGGAUGAGGCACUUUUAUUAGUGAACGUCCUCACGCAACCACUUUUUACUGUGAGAAAAUCAGAGUGCUCAAGGCAGGCAUUUGCCGUGAAUGUAUUAGCAUGGAAUAAUAGAAUAGGACUUGGUUCUAUUUUGUUGGUUUGUUGGGACUGAGUAAUGAUUAAGAGGGACAGCUGGGGGCAUUUGUAUUUCGGUGCUAGAGGUGAAAUUCUUAGAUUACCGAAAGACAAACUGCUGCGAAAGCGUCUGCCAAGGAUGUCUUCAUUGA
rnacentral:rRNA from 1 species